UUUGUGGCUGAGGAUGAUGGGAGUUGUAGUCCAACAACAUCUGGGGGCCCAAGGCUAAGAAAACCUGCUUUAGAGUGUAUUUCUGCCCAUUAGAAAAUUUGGCCAUUCAGUUACAUAUCAUGAUUUAACAGCUGGAUGAUUACAUGAUAUGGAAUUUAAUUUUUGCCUUCUGUCUCCCUUUCCAUUAUGCCACACUUAUGUUUAUUCUUCAAAUGCGUAUUUGAAGAAGGUUGUUUUGGAGAAUUCAGUCAUAGUCACUGCUGCUGUCCUAAACUCUGAAGACGGGGGUCAUACAGUAAGCUUAUGCUUAUUGUAAAAUGGUUAACAGAAAACAAUUAAAAUGUAUUUAUUAUCCAUGGCAAUGGUAUGGUAUAGAAAUACAGUGAGUUGCCCAUUUUGUUAUUAUUAUUUGAAACAUUUUACAUACAACAUUUCCAUUUUCAAGAAACUCCCAAAGCGGUUUGUAACAGAAUAAAAACAUUUUUAAACAAUCAGAAACAAUACCACCCCCACCCCGGAAAAGCAAUCAAUUAGUGGGUAGCAUCCAGAGCUUUAGUUAAGUGGUGCUCUGUCAGUAGAAGCUCCUUCCAUGAAUGUAAGGAGUGUUCCUUUUGCCCAAGAACAUCUUGUAUGAAUGCAACCCUUCUUUCAUUCAUGAAAGAAGCUUCCUCCACUGCCCACUAUAUACAGAGACCAAGGGCAAAUAAUAGAGCAUACUUCUGGCAGGCAAAAAACCUACCGGAACAAGGCAGUCUUCAGGUAAUGAUGGGAAAUCACCAAGGAGAAGGUCAAGCAGGUAUCUCUAGGCAGAGGAUUCCAAAGCUUAGGAGAAGCCACAGAGAAAACCGAGCAGGACUAAGCUGCUGUAAGUUCCUUUUCUUUCUGUGAUAUGUAACUCUUGGACUUUGAUUGUCAGUAGGAUCAUCCGCAUAAUUAUUAAUAGGGUAGGAGAAGCAUCCUACCCAAGUUUGGGAGCUGUGCAUGCUCCUGUUUUUUGCUCGUGUGUGAGUAAAAAACAAGGUAGGAGUCGUCGGUGAUUGUCAGCUAGCCUCCCACUGAGUAGGAGGGCUUCAUCCUACCCAGCAGCUGUACCUAGCUGUUGAAUGAGGUAGGAGGAGAAGCUAUCCUACCCACACAUGAUCACUGUCAGCACCUCCUACCUUGCUUUUUCUUCUCAGGCAGUUAAAAAUUGGGAGCAUGCACAGCUCCCAAACUUGGGUACAAUGCUUGACCACCAACACCACCAAAGUGAUAUUUGCAACACCUAGGGGAAUCAAAUUCAGUUUUGUUGAGCCAAGUCUUUAAGAUCCCUCCUUCAGGAAUUUACUGGGCGGAGAAGAAGUCCUUUUCUCCCCUACCAAAAUAGGCACUGCUCUCAUGCUGAUGUAGCUCAACCCAGCCCUCAUCUUAUACAGAAGUGAGGUUCUUGGCCAGUCAGUUCAUAUGCUCAUCGUGCCUUGCUGCCGCUAUUAAAAACUCCCUAGAAAUCUAGUUAUGCCCCUUAUGCAGCAUCUUUCUGUGGGGUGUGGGGUAUCCUCUGGCCCUUUCUGUGACUGGUUUGUUUGGUUCCAGCGUAUUAUGGGUCUUUCCAUCUGUAGUGAACAAAACAGAAUUAGGCUUUAUUGCAGGGAUGGCCAGCCUAAGGCUGUGCAGCUGUUGUAUUACAACUCCCAUCAGCCCCAGCCACAAUGGUCAAUAGUCAGGGAUGAUGGAAGCUGGAAUCCAACAAAAGCUGAAGUCCUCAGGAUGACCAACCCUGCUCUGUUGAGUCAUCCCUCCAAUUUUCAGUUUGCCUUAGCCAAUGUCUAUGGGACUUCCCGCUGUGUAAAUGCCUGGUACCUAAGUUAAAACUUUCUUGACUCACAACUGUCAAUCAAAUUGAGCAAAGUACCAUCCAUCCUACAGGCCUUGUACAUUACUUCUGUAGUAUAGCAGCAUUAUUAUGCAUAGUUAUUUUCCAGGUCAUUGCUGCUAGGCCUGUACAAAUAUUCAGCUUCGAAGGUUGAAAGCCAAAUUCAUGUGCAUGCUGUCCCGAUUCCACCUGGAGGUGACCCCUCCCACCGCUUACCUCCACGUGGAGGAGUUCUGUGCAUAGCACUGGGAGGGCCUUUAAAGGGAAGCAGAGAUGUGGAAAGUCCCAGUCAUAUAGUGGGGGGGGGGCACAUGAGGACCUCUGGGAAAUGUAGUCCUUCCCAGCAUUUUUCCUAUAGACCUCUAUGGGGAAAGUGCUGUGGAGGACUACGUUUCCCAACAUUCCACAUACACACUCCCCAAUAUGUCCAACUGUGUAAAUGCCUGGUAACUAAGCUAAGUUAAAAGGUUCUUGACUCAAAACGGCCAAUCAAAUUGAGCAAAGUACCAUUCAUCCUGCAGGGCUUGUACAUUAGUUCUGUAGUAUAGUAGCAUUAUCAGGCAUGGUUAUCUUCCAGGUCAUUGCUGCUAGAUCUGUGCAAAGAUUCAGCUUUAAAGGUUCAAAGCCAAAUCAAUAUGCAUACUGCCUCUACUCUAUGGGGAAAGUGCUGGGAAGGACUACAUUUCCUAGCACUCCACACACGCACGCCAAUUAUGUCAGAAGAGCUUCCUGCAGCUCCACUUUCCUCUAAGGGCUUUCCCCGGUGCUGGGCACACGACUGCUCGGCAUGAAGGUAAGGAGCAGCCACCUCCAUGUGGAACCAGGGUCAACAUGCACAUGGAUUUUGCUUUGAUCCUUUGAAGUUGAAUAGUUGCACAGGCUGAAUUGUUGCAACAUUUGCUGUUAGGAAAGGAUUUCUUAGUGCUUCUUCUGUAUUGGGCCAUGAGUAAUUGCUGGGAUAUGGCCCUUCUAAGUAUACUACUGUGUUCUCCCAUCACUUUGCUGGAUUUUGCUGUAGUGUUUGUAUAUGGGAUGUGAUUGUACAUGUCAUUGUAAAGGUUGAGUUCAUAUCAGUGGCAAAACUAUUGUGCCACCCUCUGCAGAUACUUGUUCCUAUCAUUAUCUGGUGGUUGGGUGAGAACAGCCCCUAUCAGGUGUCUGUCUUUGCAGGAUUCUAAGCUGAGCAAGUGAGUGAUAUGUAAAAAAAAAAAAAAAACCUCAUAGCAGAAGUGAGUGAAUGUUUUAAAAAACAAGCUCAUAGCAGAAGGAAACAUAUAUGUAGCAAGUACAGUACGUGAUUUUGAGUGGGUGCUUAGUCAAAGUUUUCAGGAGCCUCUGAUACACCUUUCCCCUACCCCUGAAUAUAGCAAAUAAGAGUGAAACUCAUGUUUCUCGUGUAUGGGUUAGUAUUAUCCUUCCCGUUUUAGCAGCUGCUAUACUAGACUUUGCAUUAAAAAAAAGUUUUAUUUUAAUCUUUGCUUAGUGUAGUUUAACCAACAAAGGCAAUAUUAAAUGCAUUUUUUCCAAAUAUGAUACUUUUAAUGCACUGAUAAAUACUGCAACAUCUCUAAUCCCAAUUCUUUAGUUGUUGGGGAAGCUGCAUGCCAGUUCACACAGAUACUUGCAUGGGGCUCUCCUCCCUCUCUCCCUUCCUUCCUUCCUUCCAGAAAGAGGUGGAGCAAUGCUGCUGAGAGCAAAAGCAAUGUUUAUCUCAAUUUCAGAGCCAAGAAGUUACUAAGGUGCUGAGGUGGAGCUGAUAAUAACAGGGACAUAAUUUUUUAAAAAAUAAUAAUAAUUCAAUAUAUGGUGAGGAAGUUUGAAAUAUUUUGGUCAAGAAUUUCUAUUAGAAAACAUAUGCAUUUGCCAUCCAUCUUAUUCUUAUUUCUCCAUUAGACUUUUUUCCACUUUGCUAUGGUUUAGAGUAGUCUCUCUGUGUUCUAGAUGCUUUUAACGUUCUAGAACUCAUUGACUCCACUGGAAGCAAACCCACCUGAUCAGGAUUCUGGACUCUGGUUGGUUCAAUGAGUAUUCUAGAAUUCUGACAGAACACUUUGUUUUAUAAAUAAAGAAGGAUUAAAAAACUUAACUUACAAAAAACUGUGACCUAAUGGCAAUAAUUACCUCAAAUGUGGGCAUUCAUCUUGGUUUUAGCCUUUUUUUCUUUUUUUUCUUUUUUGAAAAACAUGUAGCCAGCUUGAAUUUGGGAUUAAAAAAUAAAUAAACUGUCUGUAUGGGCGGAAUACUGAUAAAUGCCCACCCUGGUCAUUGUUGCUUGAGUAUUUCUUUAAAAUAAAAUGAUGAAACCAAGUUUUAUGUAUUUUAAUUAACUGUGAUGUUGAAAUGCACACACAAGUAUAUAUGUUAAUAGCUACUGUAAAAUGCUUUGGGCUUCUCAGAGAUAUUUAAUGAAUCACAGUUUAAACCAAUAUGAACUGAACCACAGACUGUGGUAACUUAAAAAGAUUUCUGGCUACAUUUUAUAGUUAAUAGUGUUUUAUAGUUUACAUUUAAACUGGUACUUUCUAACUAAAUGUUCUUAUAGGAUCUUCAGAAUCUCAAAUUUACUAUCCCUUUACAUGUUUCUUUUGCCUGUUUUAAAAACAAAAGUGCAAGUGUGUCUUCAAUAUCUACACUCUGUUCUGCAAUAUAAUAUAGUAGUAGAAAGUCAGAUCAGACAGAAUAAUUCCAAAGUUAAGAAACAAACAAAAUCACUCCAUGCAUGUUGAAAAUAUAGCAAGUAGAAUUCAACACCUAUUUAUUUUUUAAUUUAAAAAUAUUGAAAAACUCUGUGGGAUGAAUCCAGAAGCACAAUAAUUCCGAACUAGCUAUUUCACUUACGCUCCUAACUUGAACAGAAAUACUUGUAUGAUAAGAACAAAGGCUAUUCCAAGCGAGAGACAUAUUGUAUCACGGAGUGAGGCAGGCUGUUCACACAGAUUUCAGUGUGUGGUUAUGAGUUUUGUACCCAUAUGAAGUAGAAUCAUAUGCUUAGAUUGAUCUUGUGAAAAUUGCAAUCGUAGAUCACAGAUGCAUUAUGCACAAUCUUUGCCUGAAAAUCCCAGAAACACUGCACUUGGUAUGUCUCAUCCCAGUGUUGAUCAAUUGGCAGCUAUAUACGUGGAAAUCUUGCAGUGCAGGAAUAGUCACUAGCAGCUUGUGUGCAUGUCCACCGUUGGGAAGCUGUGAUUAACUCCUCGAGUUCUGAACUACUGGUUCCUGAGACAAACAGUGAGAGACAGUGCUAGCAUGCAGUUUAUCAUGGAUAAUUUGGCUAUCAUGCAGUUUAUCCCUUCGAUUCUUACAGGGCUUCUCAGCUUUGGGUCCCCAGAUUUGUAAUCUAACAAUGUUUGGGGACCCAAGAAACCCUGCUCUAGAUCUACUUUGAACCCCUAAACUAAAUAUGAAGAACCUGACCAGUUCCCUGUAAAUCUCAUUUGCCUGUUAGUCAGUGACUGUAUAUUGGAUGUGGUUUCCAUAUUAUGGAUUAUAGUGAAUUAUGUAUUUGGAUGUAAAUGGUCUUUUGGUUUGGUUUGGUUUUUCUUUCCUUUUAGUCCUGCUUAUAUCUGUUUACUUAUGUGUUUUCCCCCUUACAGUUAAGUAAUCAGUUAAUAAUAAUAACAAAUAUUCUGCUGGGCAAAGAGGUAUUUUUAGACCAUAAAUAUUCAGGAAUUGGCACAAUGCUAAUUCCAUCUGAAGCUCUCCACUGAGCUUCUCUGGAGCUGACGAUCCUCAGCAAAGUUCAGCAAUGGCAAAUGAAUGCGUUACAAGGAAAGGGGCUUGAAACAUGGAUUGCUAUUAGCCCACAUCAAAAAUCAGUAUUCCCACUAAAUUCCAUUGGAGUCCCCCCUCCCCCUUGAGUAAGCCCAUUUAAAGCCAUGAUAUCCACAUGAUAGCUCACAUUACCAAAGUGAUGACUUGGCAUAUGGCUGAGUCGCCAUUUUGAAAGCCAAAUGGAAGGCUUGCUAUGAAGGCAGGCCCUAAACAAAUUGGAUGAGAUUGGCUCCUAUAUAGGCACAGUUAACAGCAACUAAAACUUUUAUUGCCUUUAGCAACCACUUCUUUUUCCUUUUUGUUUCAAUACUUGCCCUGGAAAUAUCAGCUUGUUCCAUUGCAGGAGCUAUAGAUUUUUUUUUUUUUUAAAUAAAACCCUGGGCUUGGAGUUUGUAAAGCACAAAGGGGUUUUAACACAGCAAAUCCAUAUUAUUUAUAAUCUACACGGUUACAUAUAGCACCUCUGUCCUCAGAAAGGGAAGCACAGCCUUCUAUACUUCCACUUUGGGGUGGUUGGUUGGAACAUUGGUCUCUUUUCCUCCAUUAAACUGGGAUUUUUCUUCUUGAAGUGAUGUCCCCAUGGCUGUUCUGAGGCACAGCUAAUCUGAGGUGCAGAAACUAUCUCCUCAUCCUUUGUGUUUCACCAGCUAAAAAAUUAAAUAAGGCAUUUUCUGUGCCAAAAUUUUACACAGACAGAACUGGAAUGUAUAAUCUGUAAAUUCUAAACCAAAAUCUUUUUUUUCCAAAAGAGAGGAAGACAAUAGCUUUAUUAGAAAGGGGAGAAAGAAAGGAGGUAUCUUGACAGGUAGAGUCUACAUUGUGAUAGUUAAAAGAACACAAACGGCAGACAGUAUUUGUGAGUAUCUGGAUCUUUUUGAAAAAUAAUGGAAGGGAUGUUUUAUACCUGUUGAUUGCCCAUAAACCAAAUAUGUUCUGAAUGGAGAGGAGAACAUGUACUAAAUUAAAAUUGUCAACAAAUAAAAAAGAAGAAGAAAAGGAAGUAAGGGCAAACAUCUUGAAAUACUCUCUCAAAUGCAAAGAAAAGACACCUCCCCAUCCUCUUACCUGAUUGAUACCUUGGAGGAUUCUGUUUUCUAUAUACAGUAUCAUCUCAGUUCAAAAACCCCAUUGAAAGCCCUUGAUCGGUUGUAUUCUUUCUCUAUAUGGUUCUGUAUUGAGUGUUAAUCCAUGUUAAAAAAAAAAAAAACUUUGUGAAGAUUAUUGUGUGCAACAGUAUUUUCUUGUGUACUGCUUAUUUUUUCUUUUCCUGUGAAUUGUCCCUUUUUUCCUUUCUUUUUUCCUUUUGUUUUUCUUCUUCUUCUGGUAAUGUCUUUGGAAGAAAAAAAAAAAAAACCAGAAAAGAAACUGACGUGUUGUAGAACUAUAUGUAACCUAUUCCUUAGUCUCAUAUUAUAGGUAUGUUAUAAGAAUGGAUAUUUUACUUGGCUUUAGAAUGUUUUACAAGAAAACUAAUUCUUAACCAAUCAAGUUCUUGCUACUAAAAAAGGAAAAAAAACAUGCUUGUGUCUCUCAUCAUGACGUUGUGUGCUUCUAAUUAAUAAUCAUUUUCGUUGUAGAAAAAUGGAGUGAAUUUAUAUUAGACUUGAAAACUAAUAAUAGCAUUGUAAAUUUAUGAGAUGAUUUUAACAGAAAAAAAACAUUAUAGAAGAAUAUAGUUAUUUUAACUGUAAUAUUACUAACUGUAGGGUGAGAAAGGGGGUCCCGUUGUGGUGAACUAUGUUCUAGCUUGUUAUUCACGGUUUCUUUUUGAUCAUUUUUUCGGUCUCUGAGGUGAAACGAGUUAUUAAUCUGAAUUUGUAAACUCACAUAUGCAUAUUGUAUAUGUGUAGAAAUGUAAUCACACUUUGUCUUGGAAUUACAUUAAACUGUUUUAAGUCA